rnacentral:rRNA from 1 species
GAUGAACGCUGGCGGCGUGCCUAAUACAUGCAAGUCGAGCGAACAGACGAGGAGCUUGCUCCUCUUACGUUAGCGGCGGACGGGUGAGUAACACGUGGAUAACCUACCUAUAAGACUGGGAUAACUUCGGGAAACCGGAGCUAAUACCGGAUAAUAUAUUGAACCGCAUGGUUCAAUAGUGAAAGACGGUUUUGCUGUCACUUAUAGAUGGAUCCGCGCCGCAUUAGCUAGUUGGUAAGGUAACGGCUUACCAAGGCAACGAUGCGUAGCCGACCUGAGAGGGUGAUCGGCCACACUGGAACUGAGACACGGUCCAGACUCCUACGGGAGGCAGCAGUAGGGAAUCUUCCGCAAUGGGCGAAAGCUUGACGGAGCAACGCCGCGUGCGUGAUGAAGGUCUUCGGAUCGUAAAACUCUGUUAUUAGGGAAGAACAAAUGUGUAAGUAACUAUGCCCGUCUUGACGGUACCUAAUCAGAAAGCCACGGCUAACUACGUG